AUUGAACGCUGGCGGCAUGCCUUACACAUGCAAGUCGAACGGCAGCGCGGACUUCGGUCUGGCGGCGAGUGGCGAACGGGUGAGUAAUACAUCGGAACGUACCCUGUUGUGGGGGAUAACUAGUCGAAAGAUUAGCUAAUACCGCAUACGACCUGAGGGUGAAAGUGGGGGACCGGAAACGGCCUCAUGCAGCAGGAGCGGCCGAUGUCUGAUUAGCUAGUUGGUGGGGUAAAGGCCCACCAAGGCGACGAUCAGUAGCUGGUCUGAGAGGACGAUCAGCCACACUGGGACUGAGACACGGCCCAGACUCCUACGGGAGGCAGCAGUGGGGAAUUUUGGACAAUGGGGGCAACCCUGAUCCAGCAAUGCCGCGUGUGUGAAGAAGGCCUUCGGGUUGUAAAGCACUUUUGUCCGGAAAGAAAUCGUGCUGGUUAAUACCUGGCGUGGAUGACGGUACCGGAAGAAUAAGCACCGGCUAACUACGUG
rnacentral:rRNA from 1 species